rnacentral:rRNA from 1 species
GACCAGACUCCUACGGGAGGCAGCAGUGGGGAAUAUUGCACAAUGGGGGAAACCCUGAUGCAGCGACGCCGCGUGAGUGAAGAAGUAUUUCGGUAUGUAAAGCUCUAUCAGCAGGGAAGAAAUACUGACCUUACGGUCAGCAGACGGUACCUGACUAAGAAGCCCCGGCUAACUACGUGCCAGCAGCCGCGGUAAUACGUAGGGGGCAAGCGUUAUCCGGAUUUACUGGGUGUAAAGGGAGCGUAGACGGUAUGGCAAGUCUGAUGUGAAAACCCGGGGCUCAACCCCGGGACUGCAUUGGAAACUGCCGAACUAGAGUGUCGGAGAGGAAAGCGGAAUUCCUAGUGUAGCGGUGAAAUGCGUAGAUAUUAGGAAGAACACCAGUGGCGAAGGCGGCUUUCUGGACUGAAACUGACGCUGGGGCACGAAAGCGUGGGGAGCGAACAGGAUUAGAUACCCCCGUA